rnacentral:rRNA from 1 species
AGAGUUUGAUCCUGGCUCAGAACGUACGCUGGCGGCACGCCUAACACAUGCAAGUCGAACGAAGUAGCAAUACUUAGUGGCAGACGGGUGAGUAACAUGUAGGUAUCUGCCCUUUGGCCUGGAAUAACACGAGGAAACUUGUGCUAAUACCGGAUAAGUCUUUACAGAGAAAGCUUUAUGCACCAUUGGAUGAGCCUGCACUUGAUUAGUUUGUUGGUGGGGUAAUGGCCUACCAAGACUGUGAUCAAUAGCUGAUUUGAGAGGAUGAUCAGCCACAUUGGGACUGAGACACGGCCCAAACUCCUACGGGAGGCAGCAGUGGGGAAUCUUGCACAAUGGAGGAAACUCUGAUGCAGCGAUGCCGCGUGAGUGAAGAAGGCCUUUGGGUUGUAAAGCUCUUUCGUCGGGGAAGAAAAUGACUGUACCCGAAUAAGAAGGUCCGGCUAACUUCGUGCCAGCAGCCGCGGUAAUACGAAGGGACCUAGCGUAGUUCGGAAUUACUGGGCUUAAAGAGUUCGUAGGUGGUUGAAAAAGUUGGUGGUGAAAUCCCAGAGCUUAACUCUGGAACUGCCAUCAAAACUUUUCAGCUAGAGUAUGAUAGAGGAAAGCAGAAUUUCUAGUGUAGAGGUGAAAUUCGUAGAUAUUAGAAAGAAUACCAAUUGCGAAGGCAGCUUUCUGGAUCAUUACUGACACUGAGGAACGAAAGCAUGGGUAGCGAAGAGGAUUAGAUACCCUCGUAGUCCAUGCCGUAAACGAUGUGUGUUAGACGUUGGAAAUUUAUUUUCAGUGUCGCAGCGAAAGCGAUAAACACACCGCCUGGGGAGUACGACCGCAAGGUUAAAACUCAAAUGAAUUGACGGGGANC